GACGAACGCUGGCGGCGUGCUUAACACAUGCAAGUCGAACGGAAAGGCCCUGCUUUUGUGGGGUGCUUGAGUGGCGAACGGGUGAGUAACACGUGAGUAACCUGCCCUUGACUUUGGGAUAAAUUCAGGAAACUGGGGCUAAUACCGGAUAGGAGCUCCUGCUGCAUGGUGGGGGUUGGAAAGUUUCGGCGGUUGGGGAUGGACUCGCGGCUUAUCAGCUUGUUGGUGGGGUAGUGGCUUACAAAGGCUGUGACGGGUAGCCGGCCUGAGAGGGUGACCGGCCACAUUGGGACUGAGAUACGGCCCAGACGCCUACGGGAGGCAGCAGUGGGGAAUAUUGCACAAUGGGCGGAAGCCUGAUGCAGCAACGCCGCGUGCGGGAUGACGGCCUUCGGGUUGUAAACCGCUUUCGCCUGUGACGAAGCGUGAGUGACGGUAAUGGGUAAAGAAGCACCGGCUAACUACGUG
rnacentral:rRNA from 1 species